rnacentral:lncRNA from 1 species
AUGGCGGGAGUGGGUGGUGCUGUAGGAGUACUGAUAUUGGACGAGUCUGUACUUUUGGUACGCCUAAUUCUUCAACAUUUCACAUCACACUAAUCACUCCAGACACCCUGAAAAUUUUCAAGGAUGACUCAUUGCAAGAGCUUUAAGGAUGUCUUUAAGAAUCAGCCAUGCAAUUACCAUUUCCAUGUUUAGUGUAUUGCGAUUGUUCUGCUGUUGUUUCUUUUGAAAUUAUUUAUGGCUGUUUGAAUUGCACAUUUUUACAAGUUUGGAUUUUCUCUUCUCUCUUGUUUUCCACAAUCUAUUUUCUUCAAUAAGUUCCCAUUUUGGUGUAAUACAAUUGUUUUGAUGUUAACAGCAAUGUGAAUUACAUUUGACACUGGCAGGGGCUGAUGAAGCAAAGCAAGACUUCCAAGAGACUGUAUGAACUAGAAUUUGGACUCCGUAUGUAUCGUACGGUCAUUUAA